rnacentral:rRNA from 1 species
UCCAGACUCCUACGGGAGGCAGCAGUGGGGAAUAUUGCACAAUGGGGGAAACCCUGAUGCAGCGACGCCGCGUGAGUGAAGAAGUAAUUCGUUAUGUAAAGCUCUCUCAGCAGGGAAGAAAAUGACGGUACCUGAGUAAGAAGCCCCGGCUAACUCCGUGCCAGCAGCCGCGGUAAUACGGAGGAUGCGAGCGUUAUCCGGAUUCAUUGGGUUUAAAGGGUGCGCAGGCGGGCCUUUAAGCCGGGGGUAAAAGCGGGGGGCCCACCCCCGCCGAGCCGUCGGAACUGGGGGCCUUGAGUGCGGCGGAGGCAUGCGGAAUGCGCGGUGUAGCGGUGAAAUGCAUAGAUAUCGCGCAGAACCCCGAUUGCGAAGGCAGCGUGCCGUGCCGCCACUGACGCUGAGGCACGAAAGCGCGGGGAUCGAACAGGAUUAGAUACCCCGGUAAC